GUGGGGAAUCUUGCGCAAUGGGCGAAAGCCUGACGCAGCCAUGCCGCGUGAAUGAUGAAGGUCUUAGGAUUGUAAAAUUCUUUCACCGGGGACGAUAAUGACGGUACCCGGAGAAGAAGCCCCGGCUAACUUCGUGCCAGCAGCCGCGGUAAUACGAAGGGGGCUAGCGUUGCUCGGAAUUACUGGGCGUAAAGGGCGCGUAGGCGGACAGUUUAGUCAGAGGUGAAAGCCCAGGGCUCAACCUUGGAAUUGCCUUUGAUACUGGCUGUCUUGAGUACGGGAGAGGUGAGAGGAACUCCGAGUGUAGAGGUGAAAUUCGUAGAUAUUCGGAAGAACACCAGUGGCGAAGGCGACUCACUGGCCCGUUACUGACGCUGAGGCGCGAAAGCGUGGGGAGCAAACAGGAUUAGAUACCCCAGUAGUCC
rnacentral:rRNA from 1 species